rnacentral:lncRNA from 1 species
GCUCUGGUGUGGGAGGCUCUGGUGUGUGUGUUGGGGGCUCUGUUGUGUGUGUGUAUUGGGGGCUCUGGUGUGUUGGGGGGCUCUGGUGUGUAUGUUGGGGGCUCGUGUGUGUGUUGGAGGCUCUGGUGUAUGUGUUGGCUCUGUGUGUGUUGAAGGGCUCUGGUGUGUGUGUGUUGGCUCUGGUGUGUGUGUGUGUGUGUGUGUGUGUGUGUGUUGGGGGCUCUGGUGUGUAUGUGUUGGAGGCUCUGGUGUAUGUGUUGGCUCUGUGUGUGUUGAAGGGCUCUGGUGUAUGUGUGUUGGCUCUGGUGUGUGUGUUGGGGGCUCUGGUGUGUGUGUGUGUCUGUUGGGGGCUCUGGUGUGUAUGUGUUGGAGGCUCUGGUGUGUAUGAGUGUUGGGGGCUCUCGUGUGUGUAUAUGUGUUGGAGGCUCUGGUGUGUGUGUGUUGGCUGUGGUGUGUGUGUUGGGGGCUCUGGUGUGUGUGUUGGGGGCUCUGGUGUGUAUGUUGGGGGCUCUGGUGUAUGUGUUGGGAGCUCAGUGUGUGUGUAUUGGGGGCUCUGGUGUGUGCGUGGAGGGCUGUGGUAUGUGUGUUGGAGGCUCUGGUGUAUGUGUUGGGGGGCUCUGGUGUGUAUGAGUGUUGGGGGCUCUGGUGUAUGUGUUGGCUCUGUGUGUGUUGAAGGGCUCUGGUGUGUGUGUGUUGGCUCUGGUGUGUGUGUGUGUGUGUGUGUGUGUGUG